rnacentral:lncRNA from 1 species
AGGAUUGAUGGGAGAGGCGGCCUUGUUUCCGCCCCCAGCCAUCCCCUUGCUGCCCUCGCUCGCACUAAGCCUUGGCCAACCAGCACCAAGGACUCGGUUUAGAGGGGUACAGGCAACUAGGAGACAGGCCGCAGCUGGGCGCGGGGUGCCUCUCUGCCAACAAUCCCCUUGGCUGUCGCUCGCUUGCCUCGGUCAACCAGCACCGAGUAUUCGUUUUUGCGGGCGACGGACAAAUGGAUUGUGACGAGAGGCUAAUAGGCAUUGUUUACACCCCAAGCCAUCCCCUUCAAGGGAAAUGCCACGGCUGGGGGGGGGGGGGCGACCGUCUGGAUAAUGCCCCCAGCGAUCCCCUUGCUGCCCUCACGCAUUCUAGCCUAGGCUAGAGGUGGUCGUCAGGCCUCAAGGAGACAGGUCGCAGCUGGGGCGCAUGCCUCUCGACCAUCAAUCCGUUCGGCCGUCGCUCGCAUGCCUCGGCUAACCUGCACCGAGUGUUCGUUUUUGCGGGCAACGUCCAAAAGGAUUGAUGGGAGAGGAGGCCUUGAUUCCGUCCCCAGCCAUCCCCUUGCUGCCCUCGCACGCACUAAGCCUUGGCCAACCAGCACCAAGGACUCGGUUUAGAGGGGUACAGGCAACUAGGAGACAGGCCGCAGCUGGGCGCGGGGUGCCUCUCGGCCAACAAUCCCCUUGGCUGUCGCUCGCUUGCCUCGGUCAACCAGCACCGAGUAUUCGUUUUUGCGGGCGACGGACAAAUGGAUUCUUGACGAGAGGCUAAUAGGCAUUGUUUACACCCCAAGCCAUCCCCCUCAAGGGAAAUGCCACGGCUGGGGGGGCGACCGUCUGGAUAAUGCCCCCAGCGAUCCCCUUGCUGCCCUCACGCAUUCUAGCCUAGGCUAGAGGCGGUCGUCAGGCCUCAAGGAGACAGGUCGCAGCUGAGGCGCAUGCCUCUCGACGAUCAAUCCGUUCGGCCGUCCCCCGCAUGCCUCGGCCAACCUGCACCGAGUGUUUAUUUUUGCGGGGCAACAGACAAAAGGAUUGAUGGGAGAGGCGGCCUGGUUUCCGCCCCCAGCCAUCCCCCUCGCUGCCCUCGCUCGCACUAAGCCUUGGUCUUGGAUGGAACCAACGACUCGGGUUAGAGGGGUACAGGCAACUAGGAGACAGGCCGCAGCUGGGUGCGGGGUGCCUCUCUGCCAACAAUCCCCUUGGCUGUCGCUCGCUUGCCUCGGUCAACCAGCACCGAGCAUUCGUUUUUGCGGGCGACGGACAAAUGGAUUGUUGACGAGAGGCUAAUAGGCAUUGUUUACACCCCCAGCCAUCCCCCUCAAGGGAAAUGCCACGGCUGGGGGGGCGACCGUCUGGAUAAUGCCCCCCAGCGAUCCCCUUGCUGCCCUCACGCAUUCUAGCCUAGGCUAGAGGCGGUCGUCAGGCCUCAAGGAGACAGGUCGCAGCUGGGGCGCAUGCCUCUCGACCAUCAAUCCGUUCGGCCGUCGCUCGCAUGCCUCGGCCAACCUGCACCGAGUGUUCGUUUUUGCGGGCAACGUCAAAAAGGAUUGAUGGGAGAGGCGGCCUUGUUUCCGCCCCCAGCCAUCCCCUUGCUGCCCUCGCUCGCACUAAGCCUUGGCCAACCAGCACCAAGGACUCGGUUUAGAGGGGUACAGGCAACUAGGAGACAGGCCGCAGCUGGGCGCGGGGUGCCUCUCUGCCAACAAUCCCCUUGGCUGUCGCUCGCUUGCCUCGGUCAACCAGCACCGAGUAUUCGUUUUUGCGGGCGACGGACAAAUGGAUUGUUGACGAGAGGCUAAUAGGCAUUGUUUACACCCCCAGCCAUCCCCCUCAAGGGAAAUGCCACGGCUGGGGGGGGCGACCGUCUGGAUAAUGCCCCCAGCGAUCCCCUUGCUGCCCUCACGCAUUCUAGCCUAGGCUAGAGGCGGUCGUCAGGCCUCAAGGAGACAGGUCGCAGCUGGGGCGCAUGCCUCUCUGCCAACAAUCCCCUUGGCUGUCGCUCGCUUGCCUCGGUCAACCAGCACCGAGUAUUCGUUUUUGUGGGCGACGGACAAAUGGAUUGUUGACGAGAGGCUAAUAGGCAUUGUUUACACCCCCAGCCAUCCCCCUCAAGGGAAAUGCCACGGCUGGGGGGGCGACCGUCUGGAUAAUGCCCCCAGCGAUCCCCUUGCUGCCCUCACGCAUUCUAGCCUAGGCUAGAGGCGGUCGUCAGGCCUCAAGGAGACAGGUCGCAGCUGGGGCGCAUGCCUCUCUGCCAACAAUCCCCUUGGCUGUCGCUCGCUUGCCUCGGUCAACCAGCACCGAGUAUUCGUUUUUGCGGGCGACGGACAAAUGGAUUGAUGGGAGAGACGGCCUUGUUUCCGCCCCCAGCCAUCCCCUUGCUGCCCUCGCUCGCACUAAGCCUUGGCCAACCAGCACCAAGGACUCGGUUUAGAGGGGUACAGGCAACUAGGAGACAGGCCGCAGCUGGGCGCGGGGUGCCUCUCUGCCAACAAUCCCC